rnacentral:rRNA from 1 species
UACGAGAGGCCCAAACGUUAUUCGGAAUCACUGGGCUUAAAGCGCGUGUAGGCGGGACGGCACGUCGGUCGCUGAAAUCCCCCGGCUCAACCGGGGAACGGGCGCCGAUACGACCGGCCUGGAGGGACGUAGGGGGACCUGGAACUUCCGGUGGAGCGGUGAAAUGCGUUGAGAUCGGAAGGAACGCCCGUGGCGAAAGCGAGGUCCUGGACGUUUUCUGACGCUGAGACGCGAAAGCCAGGGGAGCGAACGGG